GGCCCUAAGAAAGCAGAGAAGAUCCAACGCAGCCGACUAUGUCGGAGGGUUUGACUUCUUACCAGUUCCUGGGCAACAAUUCCUGUCAGAGAGGACUGGAUGAAAGGCAGGAGGUUUACGGCAGCAACAUUCGCAACUUCAUACAGACACCCCUAUGGAAUGCCUCUGGGGAGUCUCUCGUAGGAAAUAAUUUAUGAGAAGUACGCGGAGGCCACCUGCAUGCACCUACUUCAGUGUCUGCAAAGCCGCAGCCUCUGCCAGAGCUGUCAGCCUCCCCACGACCGACCUGUCCGUCAACACCGAAACCUGACGAGUCAGCUCUGCCACUGUGAGGCUGCUUGCAGAGGCAGGCGAGACAAGGAGCAAAGCCCUCCGCAAAACAGCAACAAAACCUUUUUCUGUGAUCUUUUGGCAAUGGGAGGGCAGGGGAGAGAGAGGAGAGAUCGCUGUUUGUUUCCUUUUGUUGCUGCUGCUGCUGCUGUUGUUGCUGUGCGAGCCAGGUUACAUAACGCUUAAUUUCAGGCUCCUUUCGGUGGCACGAUGAUGUAUACGCAAUGCAAAUAUCCUCGCUGGAAUUACAGGAGCAAUUUAUCAAUUCAUGUGCGGCUAAUCAACCCAUUUGCUUUCUAGUGUGUAACAGCGACAGCUUAUCUCAUGCAGACUCACGAUCGUUCGGUGCAGUCUAAUUGAAUUUCAGGGCCAGGAGCGUUGCACGCCACGUGACGGCCCACCGAGCGGUGCCAGACACUGCAGGCGUUACAUAAUCAUGCGCGGCGGCUGCCCGGGGAGGGCCGUGCUCCCUCGCCUCAUCGCCUUGGCGGGCGGCCUCUCCUUGCUCAUGCCCCGCAGCCCCAGCCCGCACACACCGCUCACAUGGACGGUCACAUGUUUCGGAGACGGGAAGGGGACCUCUCCCCCCGCCAGUCAAAACUGGUCGUUAAAUCGGCAAAGGAGAUUAGAGACGCGUGGCAUCCAAGGGAGCACCUGGCUCCCCGCCGCCUCGUGAUGAGGGAGCCGCAGGAGAUGGGAGCACCACACAAAUAGGGGUGCCCCUGUGGGGCCUCGGUGUUGGUCUGGGACCCGGCAAGCCUCAGUGGAGGCCAACAGCUGACUAGCUGAGCCUUGCCCCAGGCAGCUGGCAGCCAGGCCCCUGCUCCAUUCAGCCCCCGAGCACGUGCAGGGAGGUCAGGGUAACUGCCCUCCUCUGCCUGGCACGUACUGAUCACAUCGGGUAUGACUCACCUGAAGGGAUUUUCCACAAACAAGGCGGGCGCUGUGUAAUAAGGGAUAUAUAUUAACUGCCGGGGAUAAAAAUGUGUGCUCCUCCCCACAUCAGAGAGACGGGCUAGAUGCACUUCAGGCAAUGGGAUUCCGACCAGUUUCACCAUCUGCAGAUCUGCGUUGCCAAACAUAAAAGCCGCAGAUCACAGCUGAGGGCUGGAGGAGCACGGGGUUAGCACGCAUCCCAGCUCACGCCGGCCCCGUGUCGACAUCCAGCUUACUGAGUUGGAAGCUGCUGACCAUCCCACCCACCUGCAUCGUCAGUGCCUUGACAGCACGGGGUGGUCUGUGAGGGAUGGUGCCACGUACAGGUCCCUAUGCUUUGUCUACCCUUGGACUGCAAGUUUUUAGAGCUACCUUGACCCAGAAUUCUUUCUUCAGGAGAACAGGCACUGCAACUGCAGCUAGCCAGCACAGCAGGACAGGGCUUUGAAAUCUGUACGACACAAGCAGUGACUCUUUUCAUGUAUGCCAACAUUUCAGCAAAUAAAAAAGGCAUGCCUUUUCCCAGUAGAAGCCAACUUCAGAACAAGAAUUUAUGCAGAUAAUCUAGAGCCAAGCUUACUAAAUCAGGGUUUGUUAAGACAUUUGUCCAACAAAUCUUUCAUUCACAAAGCCCAGGAGCAUGUUGUCUGCUUGAUUUAAGGAGGAGAGAAAAUGGGCACCAAACCAAUUGCUAUGUUCUGCACUGUCAUACAGAAAGUCCAGGUUACGCUUUCAGAGAGACCUUUGAAGGUGAGUCAUUUGGUCCUCUGGAGAGAAGCCCAGAACAGAAGAUAGCCUGUGAUAACUUGAAAGUACCCUCUGCUGCCCUGACACAUUCCACUGCAUUGAGACAACGUGAGGAGUGCAUGGGCCAGGCAGUGGCUCAGCAUAAAAAGCAAUGCCAUAUUCAAGUAGCCCAUCAAAGGGGAGAUCGGUUCCCUCACAUCGUCCUUCAGCAUCCCAUCUAACAGCAUAAGAAUCUGACGGAAGUCAGCCCCAGACCCAAACACACAGCAUCUACCAAGUCAGAAACAGACAUUAACGCAAUAUAUAUAAUCACCAAUUUCAGAAAAAAUAAGGCAGUUUCCCCAGAGUGGCUCGUGCUCAAGUCAGAUGGGCGCUGUAACUUGUUGUAGCUGCACAUGUGCUUUUCUAGCAAGAACGUGUCUGAAAGAGCCCUUUUGUGCACAGCUGCAGCUGCCCAGCGGCUGGUUUGCCACCUCCUGUGGCUUUGGAGGCCCCUACUGGAAGAUGGAGAUGUACGUGCACUUUGCAGUCCGGGGCAAUAAAGCAGCUCCUUUUCGUCUGGCAAAGCUGCAGCGUGAAAUUAAUAGUUCAGGAUUGUGCAGAGGGCUUGAGAAAACAUGUUUAAUUUACCCUGAUUUUAUGACCUCACAGUUUUCAAGUGGGGCAAUGCCCCAGCUGGCUGAAUAGUAAAAUCACAUUGCAUAGGGCAUAGCAGCAAAACAGAUAGUGAUCAAAGUGCUGAACUCAAGACGCAGAAGCCAUGAACUGUUGGCUAGUUCAAAAGAAAACAUUAUCGCAGCAACAUUUCCUUUCCUGCUCUCAAAUGAAGUCUGUCUUCAGCUAAAAAUCAGAACGAAACAGAGAAAAGGAAGAAGUGUGCAAAAAAAUGGGAAAGAUAGAGAUGCUUUAAGAAAUCGGGGGAACGAUUUAUUCCAGUCUCAAACCAUCUAGAGUUUAAAAAGUGGUUUAAAUAUACACUGAACUUAAUUCAACAUAUAUUUAAUUCAAAGUAUGUAUCAACUACUUUACUACUUUGAUAAGUUUACUGUUCAUUUUUUAAACAGGCAGUAAAAUUCCCUGUUUUUAGAUUACCUGCUGCUCUAGAGUUUGUUACUGAGAUAAAACAAGCUCUUUCAGUACCAUAAGCAUUGAAAAAAAAAUCUAUAUAUGAACAAACAGCUUCAUUUUAGUCAAGUGCCUAUUUGUAGAGAACACUCUGGAGAGCCAGCCCUUCCAACCAAAAGACCUCCCAGUGCAUGAGGUAAGACCCCAGAAAGAGCCAGUUCAUCCGCACCCUCCUAAUCCUAGUUCAACACGUGUGCUAUGCACGCUAAAAUGCAGCCAGCACUGCUCUCAUUUGACUCCCUUUCCCUCGGCUGUGUGGCACAGCAGGUUAUUUGCACACACAAGCAGAAAUAGGUAGCACUCUGCCCAGACUCCUGCAAUACAAAUUACUUGUUUCCGUCUAAUCACAUCACAGA